AUAACCCGUUGUGAAAAAAAAAGUGAGGCGGGGCAGGGGAAGUUGGCAUAUCAGGUCGCCGGGGCGCGGAGCAGGCCUGCGCGGGAAGGGCGGCGGUUCCCGGGACGACGACGGCGGCGGUAGAGAUGAGAUUGCCAUGGGGGAAGUGAUGAACCAGGUUCUUGUGGACUUGGCAGACUCUUGAGAAACAAUACCAUAUGAAGAACUACCAGCCGCGAAAGCGGAAAUGAUAGGAGAAUUGGAUGGCACCAGUGUGUUAUGGUUCUGAAGAGCUAUAGCAGCAGCGUAGUUGAAUUGAAAGGGGGAGGACGGUAUGUGGUGAGGACGGCAUGAAAUAUAUGUGUUGAAUGUGAACUUCCAAUGGAAGGAUAGGUCAAGUAACCAAGCCAUGUAAGGGCUUCAGUUGACCUUUGACCCAGUUGCGAAGAUCAGGUAAAAGAAAAGGAUGUUAACAGUUGUUUAGUUGAACUACCCCAAUCAUUUGUCUGUUAUGAAGACUUGCAAAUUGAAGUUUGUUAACGAAUGAUUUAUUACAGUUCAUUUUCCUA